GUCGAAAGGCUGAGCCUUUGGUAGAGCGCACCCUUGGUAAGGGUGAGGUCCCCAGUUCGACAUGCUGGGUAUCAGUCACCA
rnacentral:tRNA from 1 species